UACGGAGGAUCCGAGCGUUAUCCGGAUUUAUUGGGUUUAAAGGGUGCGUAGGCGGUUUGAUAAGUUAGAGGUGAAAUGUCGGGGCUCAACCCCGAAACUGCCUCUAAUACUGUUGGACUAGAGAAUAGUUGCGGUGGGCGGAAUGUAUGGUGUAGCGGUGAAGUGCUUAGAGAUCAUACAGAACACCGAUUGCGAAGGCAGCUUACCAAACUAUAUCUGACGUUGAGGCACGAAAGCGUGGGUAGCAAACAGG
rnacentral:rRNA from 1 species